rnacentral:rRNA from 1 species
ACACGUGGACAAUCUAACCUAAGGUGGGGGAUAACCCCGGGAAACUGGGGAUAAUACCCCAUAGACUAUGGGUGCUGGAAUGCUCUGUAGUUGAAAGGUCCGCCGCCAUAGGAUGAGUCUGCGGCCGAUUAGGUUGUUGUUGGGGUAACGGCCCAACAAGCCUGUAAUCGGUACGGGUUGUGGGAGCAAGAGCCCGGAGAUGGAUUCUGAGACACGAAUCCAGGCCCUACGGGGCGCAGCAGGCGCGAAAACUUUACAAUGCGGGAAACCGUGAUAAGGGAACUCCGAGUGCCCGUAAAAUCGGGCUGUCCACCAGUGCAAAUAACUGGUGAAGAAAGGGCCGGGCAAGACCGGUGCCAGCCGCCGCGGUAAUACCGGCGGCUCGAGUGGUGGCCACUAUUACUGGGCUUAAAGCGUUCGUAGCUGGUCUGUUAAGUCUCUGGGGAAAUCUACUGGCUUAACCAAUAGGCAUCUCAGGGAUACUGGCAGACUAGGGACCGGGAGAGGUGAGGGGUACUCCAGGGGUAGGAGUGAAAUCCUG